GACGAACGCUGGCGGCGUGCUUAACACAUGCAAGUCGAACGGAAAGGCCCUGCUUUUGUGGGGUGCUCGAGUGGCGAACGGGUGAGUAACACGUGAGUAACCUGCCCUUGACUUUGGGAUAACUUCAGGAAACUGGGGCUAAUACCGGAUAGGAGCUCCUGCUGCAUGGUGGGGGUUGGAAAGUUUCGGCGGUUGGGGAUGGACUCGCGGCUUAUCAGCUUGUUGGUGGAGUAGUGGCUUACCAAGGCUUUGACGGGUAGCCGGCCUGAGAGGGUGACCGGCCACAUUGGGACUGAGAUACGGCCCAGGCUCCUACGGGAGGCAGCAGUGGGGAAUAUUGCACAAUGGGCGGAAGCCUGAUGCAGCAACGCCGCGUGCGGGAUGACGGCCUUCGGGUUGUAAACCGCUUUCGCCUGUGACGAAGCGUGAGUGACGGUAAUGGGUAAAGAAGCACCGGCUAACUACGUG
rnacentral:rRNA from 1 species